GCUGAGCGCCAUGCAGGGCCGUGCGUGUGGGAGGCUGUGGUGCUGGGAGCCCCGUGCUGCUGAGUGCUGCUGGCUGCGGUGCCCUGCAGAGCGGGGCACAGCGUGAUGCAAUGCCUGGCACGGCAUCUUUGGUAAGGCCAGAGUGCUGAGCUGCUGACCUUCCUGGGCUGCUGUUUUGUCUCUGAUUUGUGUUGUCCUUGCUACCCAAAAGGCUGUUGUCUCGUGGGUUGCUGGGCGCUGUGGUUUGCUGGUUAUUCCAACUGACCGGACUCAGUGCUUUGGGGAACCUUGUGCUGCAGUAAUUCUCCGUGCAGCCUGAGUCUUGUGCCACUUUGUGAUUUAUUGCCAUUUCAAAUUUCAAUUUACAGCAAUGAAAGGGGAGAGGACACUCUUGUGUGAAAUAUAAACAGCUUCAGGACCGAAAUAAGAAAAUUUUCCUAGAGAAAAAAAGACAGCAGAACCCAUCAGGCUGGCAGCGAGCAGGGCUGGGGGAGAUGUUCAUGCAGCACCGGAGGGUUCUUGAUCUCACUGCUGCCUGCGAGCUCAGCUGUCAGUGAGCUGCUCUGCUGCCCCGUCUGCUUGCAGUGCUCGGGACAGGGACCUGAUGGGCGCUUUGUGUGAUGCUCAUUCACAUUGGAGGUAUCUUUGCAACCGGGAUUCCGAGUCAGGAUUCCGAGCGAGGCCUCAUCGUGCAGCCACAGAGUGGGGAAGGGAGGGGAAAAAA